GUGCCCGUAGCUCAUUUGGAUAGAGUGACAGCCUCCGGAGCUGUAGGUAGAGGGUUCAAAUCCCUCCGGGCACGCCA
rnacentral:tRNA from 1 species